ACGUGGGGUUGAAACCCUUACCCUGGCCACUUUGGAAUGUCUGUUGUUGUCUUUCUUCAGCUCAUGUUUAGGCUGUCAUGUUGGUGAGACUGUGGGUCUAGUUUCUGACACUAUUUAGGAGUCUCAUAACAAAUGUCCUGAUUCUCUGGCUCUUAAAAUCCUUCCAUCAUGUCUUCUACAAUGAUCUCUGAGAUUUAUAUGCAAGAAUUGUGUUGUAGGUGUACCAUUUGGGACUGGAUCCCACAAUUUUGCAUUUUGAAUAGUUGUAGGGUUUUGUUUUUAUAAUGAUAUCCAUCUAUAGCAAAGAAGUUUCCUUGUUGAGGGGUGAAGACUGCAUUUAUCUGUGAAUAUAAGGACAAAUAUUUAGAAGGUAGUUAGAGAUUGUUCUAGCCUUAGAAAAGUGGAGAUUGUAGAUUUUCCUCCAGAAUCCAUACUUCACCAGCCCUGCCUACCCACCUGUGUUUCUGAUACCAGGUGUGGUUUCCUUUCAGUUGUCAGAUUCAUAAGUCCAACUGGAGAGCUGUUGGUUAAUGCCAAGGUAUACACCCCACUACUGUACCCUUGGGCUUAUCAUGACAUGCUGGUUAUUUUUGUGGUUCGUAGGUAUCCUAGCUGAGUAGAGCUGUUGGUUUCUUCCCUCAUUUAGAAGUUUGAAUGACACUUUCUGGUAGGGAGUAGAUUUUCAGUUAAGUUGUAACUCAGGGGCCUCUGGAUCAUGUGUUUGAAAAUACAUGGUGUCUUCAGCAGUAGCAUCAUGUUCCACUUUUCGGGGCAACUAAGUGCAAUAGCAAUAACCUGUAAUGUUCGGGGAUUCUCUUGAAUAGUUUUAUCAACAACUCAAAAGAGAGCUGCUUAUGCCUGAUAUUGGGAUUUUUUUUAGGUGAUCUUCAGCUCUCGAAGGGAGCAUUGUCAGCCCAGAUGAGAACAUUUUAUUUUAAUAACAUAUAUAUGUUUACACAGAGACUUCUUAAAUUUUUUUUUUAGUAAAUAGUUAAUAGUAUGUUUCCUUAUGAACUUUUUCAAUCAUCCAUACUCCUUUUUCUGUAUAUAUCUCCUUCCUCCUCUGUAAUUAGUACCCUCACUCCUUUUUGCCAUUUCUUUGUAGCCUGCUAUUCCUUUAUCUCUUGCUCCCCUACCCACCACCUGAUGCUCCUUUUGACUUCCUGGUUUCUGCAGUUGCUUCAGGACAUGUACUCACAUCAGCCUCAGAGAUAGGAGCCUCUGAUGGGAGAGAACAUGAAAUGUUGGACUUCCUUGGUCUGCAUUACCUCAUUCAAUACAAUCUCUCCUAGUCUCAUCCAUUUAUCUAUGAUAAAUGCUCAUGAUGUCAUUAUUUUUACAGCUGAAUAGUAUUCACUUUUAAAGUACAAGGUUGCUGUUUGUCUUUAUGCUUCAUAUAAGAUAAAAUCAAUUGGUAAGGCUAGGCCACAUAUUUUUGUUACCAAGUCUGCUGUUAUUUCUGAAGUAUAGACUAUGGCUUAAAGCUCUUAGAUACUACAUUCAGCAGCAGGACUUUGACACUGGGUAACUCUCUCUGCCUCCUCAGGGUCCAAUGUGACUUACCAUCAUUGCAAGACAACAAAAUCAGAUUCUGAAUCCUUACCUCAAUGGAAAUGGCAUCAGCUAUUCCCCUUUGUUCUUGAGGAUAAUAUGCUCCUAUGCCUGGAAUUCUUGAGCAUUAUGGAGGAUGCUGGUUUGUCUGUCCACCUCUCACUCUGGAGUAGAAUCUAAGAAUGCAAGGUCCACAUUCCUCAGUGGCUGCACCAAGGGGUCCACCUGUCCCCACUGACAGGCCACAGUACCAGUCAGUCCCCAUGAAGACAC
rnacentral:lncRNA from 1 species